GCGCGAAGGCAGGAGGUUGACGUCAACUGAGCCAACGCGAGGGGCCCUGAGGAGGGGUCUGGAAAAGGGGGGGAGGGUGUGUGACCCCCAAACAAAGAAGGCCCACUAACGACUCCCAAACGCAAAACCGCUGAAGAAAAAGAAAAGAAAACCCAUACAUUUGUCAAAAAUGAAAAUUCGGCAGGCAAAAACAUGUACAUCGAAGUCUACAGACAAACGAGGAGACGAGACUUUUCGCCCGGGACACACGAAAGGCGCGGGGUAACUUCCCUAAUAAACGGAGAGCUCCUGGAGGCCGAAACGGUAAAGACCUGGCCAAGGCAGGAAGGUGGGCAAAGAGGGAGAAAACCGGCAACUCACAGGAAGGUACAAACGGCUGACAGACCUCCGGGACCAAAAUCACGACCCGACUCUCGCAGGAGCGCCACAGCGAGAGCGCGGACACGCGCGCUCGGCCGGCGCUCUCCUCAGGCCGGGCCGUGGGGCGCGGAUGCGGGAGGAGACCGCGCGGCAGGACGCGGCCGGCGACCCCGCGGAGCCAGCGAGACGCGCGGGCUGGAGCCCGCGGGGCGGCCCGCUUCAUAAGCAAGGACCAGCUUUGUUUUGUGUUCUUCAAAGUAUCCCCAGUGCUUCACAUAACACAGAGUCUGCUGCAUAGUAGGACUUCAGUUUAUGUGUCUCAAAUAUGGGUGUGUCAUUGGCUUCAAGGGAGAGACCACUACCCCAGGAUCAAGAGAAUCCAGGGGCAGGUUCCAGCAAGACCACCAUCACGGACACCACCUCCAUGGCCUCCCACUUCCCAUGCAGGUUAUCCAGCAGACUAGGGGCAAAGAGCUGAAGGGUGGGCAUCCAUCUCUGGUGCGUUUACAGACCCGAGAGCGGGGGGCAGAGGGGGUGGGGAUCAGUGAGAAGGCUUCAGAGAGGACCUGGAGUCCGAGACUACGUAUCAUUAUGUAAGCACAGUGAGCCAAUUUAUUCUCCCUCCAAGGAGAGUAGCAUUCUAAACAGGGGUGACUCACCCUCAGAUUCGCAUUUUAGGAAGAUUACUUGGGCUGCCAGAAUGACUGGUGGGGCGACGAUGCUCAGAUUCCUGUCUGUCCAGUACCUCCUCUGUGUUUUUCCCCAUGUUAACCUUACUGCCUGAACGAUUUCCUCCUUAACCUUUUUUAUUUAAAUGGACUCCCUGCUUCUUUUAAUUGAAAUAGUCUUAUUAAAGGUAAUUUUUCAUUGAAGUAGAGUUGAUUUGCAAUAUUGUGUUAGUUUCAGUGUACAGCAAAGUGAUUUGGUUUAUAUAUACCCAUUCUUAAAAAAGAAUAUAUAUAUUCUUGUACAUCUAUGUAUAUACAAUCUUUUUUAAUUCUUUUCCAUUAUAGGUUAUUACAAGAUAUUGACUACAAUCCCCUGUGUUGUACAGUAAGUCCUUGUUGUUUAUCUAUCUUAUAUAUGGUACUGUGUGUCUGUUAAUUCCAUACUCCUAAUUUAUCCUCCCCCUGCAAAGGUAAUUUUUUUAAACAGAAGUACCAGGGAUUGAACCCAGGACCUGGAGCAUGCUAGGCAAGCACUCUACCACUGAGCAAUUUCCCUUCC